rnacentral:tRNA from 1 species
AAUCAAUAUUAUAUUUUAGUAUUUUUAUUUUUCAUUUAAAAAGAGUUUGAUUU